rnacentral:tRNA from 1 species
UGUAGCUCAGUGGUAGAGCACUUGCCUAGCAUGUAAGAAGCUCUGGGUUCAAUUUCCAGUA